rnacentral:rRNA from 1 species
UCUACGGCCAUACCACCCUGAACAUGCCCGAUCUCCUCUGAUCUCGGAAAAGGUAGAAGAGGAGGGUGAGGAGGGAGAAAGAGAACUAGGGCAUCACUCUGUCAUAUGAA